GAUGAACGCUGGCGGCGUGCCUAAUACAUGCAAGUUGAGCGAACAGACGAGGAGCUUGCUCCUUUGACGUUAGCGGCGGACGGGUGAGUAACACGUGGGUAACCUACCUAUAAGACUGGGAUAACUUCGGGAAACCGGAGCUAAUACCGGAUAAUAUUUCGAACCGCAUGGUUCGAUAGUGAAAGAUGGCUUUGCUAUCACUUAUAGAUGGACCUGCGCCGUAUUAGCUAGUUGGUAAGGUAACGGCUUACCAAGGCAACGAUACGUAGCCGACCUGAGAGGGUGAUCGGCCACACUGGAACUGAGACACGGUCCAGACUCCUACGGGAGGCAGCAGUAGGGAAUCUUCCGCAAUGGGCGAAAGCCUGACGGAGCAACGCCGCGUGAGUGAUGAAGGUCUUCGGAUCGUAAAACUCUGUUAUUAGGGAAGAAUAAACGUGUAAGUAACUGUGCACGUCUUGACGGUACCUAAUCAGAAAGCCACGGCUAACUACGUG
rnacentral:rRNA from 1 species